rnacentral:lncRNA from 1 species
UCCACCCCUCUAUCUGUCCUAUUGCAUCCCUAAUAUCAAUUACUAAGUCUUUUGUCACUUGCGCUAAGGACAUCAGCACUACAACAAAAACGGUCUAUAGCGACACUUUUAAAUGUCGGUACAGAUCAAAAAAAGUGCUGCUGGCUAAAUUACCGACACUUUUAAAAAGUGUUGCUAUAUGUGGGGUCGCUAGGUAUAUAGUGACAGUUAAAGAGUGUCGUUAUAAUCUAAAAAUAGUGCUCCUAAUUUACUAACACUUAUUUAAACAUUUAGCAACCGCUGGAACUCUACCUUGUUGGCUGCGGUGGCGGAGGAUGAGGAGAGGUAAUGGCUCUUCGUCUAGGAUUUCAGUGGAUUGAGUGAGGGGAGAAGGGGAGAUGGUAAUCGAUUUUUUUUUUUUUUUUUUUCUUUUCUGUUUACAAUCGGGCCGAAUAGGCUGGGUGGGGUGGGUUGAGUAGAGUAAUCUUUUAUUUUUGGUUGGAUUGGGCUUUAUAUUUAGGCAUUAAUAGAUUUUUUUUUUAAGUUUUGGUAUAAAUGGAACACUUAUACAAAAGUGUUCCAAACAUGUGUCGCUAUAACCUAAUUCUAUUGUAGU